UGGGUUGAGACCCGGGCACCGCCAAGAUGCCGGCUUACCACUCUUCUCUCAUGGAUCCUGACACCAAACUCAUCGGAAACAUGGCACUGUUGACUAUCAGAAGUCAAUUCAAAGGACCUGCCCCCAGAGAGAUAAAAGAUACAGAUAUUGUGGAUGAAGCAUCUAUUACUUCAAGGCCAAUGUCUUCUUCAAAAACUAUGAAAUUAAGAAUGAAGCUGAUAGGACCUUGAUAUAUAUAACUCUCUACAUUUCUGAAUGUCUGAAGAAACUCCAAAAGUGCAAUUCCAAAAGCCAAGGUGAGAAAGAAAUGUAUACACUGGGAAUCACUAAUUUUCCCAUUCCUGGAGAGCCUGGUUUUCCACUUAACGCAAUCUAUGCCAAACCUGCAAACAAACAGGAAGAUGAAGUGAUGACAGCCUAUUUACAACGGCUAAGGCAAGAGACUGGAUUGAGACUUUGUGAGAAAGUUUUCGACCCUCAGAAUGAUAAACCCAGCAAGUGGUGGACUUGCUUUGUGAAGAGACAGCUCAUGAACAAGAGUCUUUCCGGACCUGGACAGUGAAGGGAGCCCAGGCAGCCACCGUCUCCA